AAUGAACGUUGGCGGCAUGGAUUAGGCAUGCAAGUCGAGCGAGAAGUGUAGCAAUACACGGAAAGCGGCGGAAGGGAGAGUAAUACGUGGGAAUCUGCCCUUAGACCUGGGAUAGCAGCGGGAAACUGCUGGUAAUACCAGAUAAUAUCUAUGGACCAAAGGUGUGAUUCCGUCUAGGGAUGAGCCCACGUCCUAUUAGCUAGUUGGUAGGGUAAUGGCCUACCAAGGCGAUGAUGGGUAGCGGGUGUGAGAGCAUGACCCGCCUCACUGGGACUGAGACACUGCCCAGACACCUACGGGUGGCUGCAGUCGAGAAUCUUCGGCAAUGGGCGCAAGCCUGACCGAGCGAUGCCGCGUGCGGGAUGAAGGCCUUCGGGUUGUAAACCGCUGUCGAGGGGGAGCAACUUCCAUAGAGUUAUCUUUAUGGAUUGAGUGAUCCCUGGAGGAAGGACGGGCUAAGUUCGUGCCAGCCGCCGCAGUAACAC
rnacentral:rRNA from 1 species